rnacentral:rRNA from 1 species
UACGGGGGGGGCAAGCGUUGUUCGGAAUUACUGGGCGUAAAGGGCUCGUAGGCGGCCAACUAAGUCAGACGUGAAAUCCCUCGGCUUAACCGGGGAACUGCGUCUGAUACUGGAUGGCUUGAAUCCGGGAGAGGGAUGCGGAAUUCCAGGUGUAGCGGUGAAAUGCGUAGAUAUCAGGAGGAACACCAGUGGCGAAGGCGACUCACUGGACAACUGUUGACGCUGAGGUGCGAAAGCGUGGGGAGCAAACAGG